rnacentral:rRNA from 1 species
UACAGAGGGUGCAAGCGUUGUUCGGAAUUAUUGGGCGUAAAGGGCGCGUAGGCGGUUCGGCACGUCUUCAGUGAAAUCUCUGGGCUCAACUCAGAGUCUGCUGGGGAAACUGCCGGGCUUGAGUGUGGGAGAGGAGAGUGGAAUUCCUGGUGUAGCGGUGAAAUGCGCAGAUAUCAGGAGGAACACCGAUGGCGAAGGCAGGUCUCUGGGCAUUAACUGACGCUGAGGAGCGAAAGCAUGGGGAGCGAACAGG